rnacentral:rRNA from 1 species
UGACAUACCUAUAACUGUUGCUUCGGCGGGUAGGGUCUCCGCGACCCUCCCGGCCUCCCGCCUCCGGGCGGGUCGGCGCCCGCCGGAGGAUAACCAAACUCUGAUUUAACGACGUUUCUUCUGAGUGGUACAAGCAAAUAAUCAAAACUUUUAACAACGGAUCUCUUGGUUCUGGCAUCGAUGAAGAACGCAGCGAAAUGCGAUAAGUAAUGUGAAUUGCAGAAUUCAGUGAAUCAUCGAAUCUUUGAACGCACAUUGCGCCCGCCAGCAUUCUGGCGGGCAUGCCUGUUCGAGCGUCAUUUCAACCCUCAAGCUCUGCUUGGUGUUGGGGCCCUACAGCUGAUGUAGGCCCUCAAAGGUAGUGGCGGACCCUCCCGGAGCCUCCUUUGCGUAGUAACUUUACGUCUCGCACUGGGAUCCGGAGGGACUCUUGCCGUAAAACCCCCCAAUUUUCCAAAGGUUGACCUCGGAUCAGGUAGGAAUACCCGCUGAACUUAAGCAUAUCAAUAAG